rnacentral:rRNA from 1 species
UACGGGGGGAGCAAGCGUUGUCCGGAUUUAUUGGGCGUAAAGAGCGUGUAGGCGGCUAUACAGGUCCGUUGUGAAAACUCGAGGCUCAACCUCGAGACGCCGAUGGAAACCGUAUGGCUAGAGUCCGGAAGAGGAGAGCGGAAUUCCUGGUGUAGCGGUGAAAUGCGCAGAUAUCAGGAAGAACACCCGUGGCGAAGGCGGCUCUCUGGGACGGUACUGACGCUGAGACGCGAAAGCGUGGGGGAGCGAACAGG